AUUAAUCAAAGGUCAUUUUGUAGCUGACGCUAAAUCCAGCGUAAACCCGUUUCCAUGACAACACCGGAAGUCGCUCGUUCGCGACCUUUACGACGAUAAAGUCGUUUCGUAAUGCAGUUAUAAUAUGUGUUUACUUGUUGAAUGUAAUUCUGAGUAAAAGUGUGACUUAAAGCUGUGUUUACAUUGCUCUUGUUAAAUUUAUGAAGAAGAGAAAGGUUUAUCGCCAGUCACAUGACUGUUACCCGGAAGUACUGAGGAAGGCGAACUUUUAAGCUCCCGUCUGUUGUUCUACAGCUGGUCUACAAGGCGAACACGGUGUGUCGGUGCUGCUGCUGUCUGGACUGACUGAUUCUGCAGCCUCCUCUCUGUCUGUGCUCAGACUCUGCUGCCAUCUAGUGGUCUUCUGUCCGUACUGCGUCUCUACUGGUCUGAUGCUGUCCAUCUGCUGCGGCAGGAAGACGGGAAACCGAGCGGCCGUCUCCACGGAGAUGACCCGGCGGGUCGGAGGAAGCGAUGACAUCGCUGCUGAUGUCACCGCUGAGCACGCCUUCUGAGCUGUGAACACAGUGACAGCAGCUGUCUUUAACGUGGACAUGAGAGUUUCUACCAUCUGCUCUUAUGGAGACGCUGCUGGAGAGCUUUGUCUGACACGUUGCUCCAGAAGUUUGCUUUCUUUACUCUUUUUAUUCUCUUCUAUCUCAAAGUGUUUCUGGCUGUGUAGGUUUUUAAGCUUUGGCAAAUAAAAACAAAGUAUCCCAAA